UAACCUGCCUGGUAGCGGGGGAUAACUAUUGGAAACGAUAGCUAAUACCGCAUAACAGUAGAUGUUGCAUGACAUUUGCUUGAAAGGGGCAAUUGCUCCACUACCAGAUGGACCUGCGUUGUAUUAGCUAGUUGGUGAGGUAACGGCUCACCAAGGCGACGAUCCCUAGCUGGUCUGAGAGGAUGACCAGCCACACUGGAACUGAGACACGGUCCAG
rnacentral:rRNA from 1 species